rnacentral:lncRNA from 1 species
UGGCUCAAAAUCCUAGCUUCUAUAAAUGGUGCCAGCUGAAGGACUCCUCCGGGUGCGGGAGUUUCUCGCUGCAUUGAAGACCCAUUGGUGGCUUUCGGCUGUUGUCUGCUCUAUGUUCGGGUUGCUGUCUCUUUGACUCAUUCCCUAAUUCCAUUCUCAAUUUAUUUUACAGUGGAAACAACAAAAAAUAGUAUGAACCUAUUAAUAUUGAAC